rnacentral:rRNA from 2 species
CAGUCGACGAUGAAGACCGUGCUUGCACGGUUGGAUUAGUGGCGAACGGGUGAGUAUCACGUGAGUAACCUUCCCUUGACUCUGGGAUAAGCCCGGGAAACUGGGUCUAAUACCGGAUACGACCAGUCCUCGCAUGGGGUGCUGGUGGAAAGAUUUAUCGGUCUUGGAUGGACUCGCGGCCUAUCAGCUUGUUGGUGAGGUAAUGGCUCACCAAGGCGAUGACGGGUAGCCGGCCUGAGAGGGUGACCGGCCACACUGGGACUGAGACACGGCCCAGACUCCUACGGGAGGCAGCAGUGGGGAAUAUUGCACAAUGGGCGAAAGCCUGAUGCAGCGACGCCGCGUGCGGGAUGACGGCCUUCGGGUUGUAAACCGCUUUCAGCAGGGAAGAAGCGAAAGUGACGGUACCUGCAGAAGAAGCGCCGGCUAACUACGUGCCAGCAGCCGCGGUAAUACGUAGGGCGCGAGCGUUAUCCGGAAUUAUUGGGCGUAAAGAGCUCGUAGGCGGUUUGUCACGUCUGCUGUGAAAGCCCGAGGCUCAACCUCGGGUGUGCAGUGGGUACGGGCAGACUAGAGUGCAGUAGGGGAGACUGGAAUUCCUGGUGUAGCGGUGAAAUGCGCAGAUAUCAGGAGGAACACCGAUGGCGAAGGCAGGUCUCUGGGCUGUUACUGACGCUGAGGAGCGAAAGCAUGGGGAGCGAACAGGAUUAGAUACCCUGGUAGUCCAUGCCGUAAACGUUGGGCACUAGGUGUGGGGAACAUUCCACGUUUUCCGC